rnacentral:lncRNA from 1 species
AAAAAUAGCUUUUGACCGAAAAGAAAGAGAGUUCAGAAAACUACAACGACAAGUAAAAAAGAUGGAUGAUUACGGAAAAGCUUUUUGUGAACAUAAGCCCAUGCCUGUCGAAAACUCUUUCUUAGGCCUUAUGUCUUUCCCUUCUUAUUUCACAAAACCAGAUAGACCUUCUUCGUUCUACCAUACUUACGUCUCAUCUCCUCCACAACAGAAG